rnacentral:rRNA from 1 species
GACGAACGCUGGCGGCGUGCCUAAUACAUGCAAGUUGAGCGAUGAAGAUUGGUGCUUGCACCAAUUUGAAGAGCAGCGAACGGGUGAGUAACGCGUGGGGAAUCUGCCUUUGAGCGGGGGACAACAUUUGGAAACGAAUGCUAAUACCGCAUAACAACUUUAAACAUAAGUUUUAAGUUUGAAAGAUGCAAUUGCAUCACUCAAAGAUGAUCCCGCGUUGUAUUAGCUAGUUGGUGAGGUAAAGGCGCACCAAGGCGAUGAUACAUAGCCGACCUGAGAGGGUGAUCGGCCACAUUGGGACUGAGACACGGCCCAAACUCCUACGGGAGGCAGCAGUAGGGAAUCUUCGGCAAUGGACGAAAGUCUGACCGAGCAACGCCGCGUGAGUGAAGAAGGUUUUCGGAUCGCAAAACUCUGUUGGUAGAGAAGAACGUUGGUGAGAGUGGAAAGCUCAUCAAGUGACGGUAACUACCCAGAAAGGGACGGCUAACUACGUG